CGUAAGGCGCCGAAUGAGUCAUUAAAAAAUUAACAUCAUCCGAUCCCUAGUCGGCAUAGUUUAUGGUUAAGACUACGACGGUAUCUGAUCGUCUUCGAUCCCCUAACUUUCGUUCUUGAUUAAUGAAAACAUCCUUGGCAAAUGCUUUCGCAGUAGUUAGUCUUCAAUAAAUCCAAGAAUUUCACCUCUGACAAUUGAAUACUAAUGCCCCCAACUAUCCCUAUUAAUCAUUACAUCGAUCCUAGAAACCAACAAAAUAGAAUCGGAUGUCCUAUUUCAUUAUUCCAUGCUAAUGUAUUCAAGCGUGAGCCUGCUUUAAACACUCUAAUUUUUUCAAGGUAACAGUCCUAAUUCCCCGUAACACCAAAUUAAUGGCAUUACGGUUCUUUAGAAGGUGAGAAAUCAAUGAUAACAGUGCAUACCAACGGCAUGACCGAAAUAUUGAUCCCGAAAUUCAACUACGAGCUUUUUAACUGCAACAACUUUAAUAUACGCUAUUGGAGCUGGAAUUACCGCGGCUGCUGGCACCAGACUUGCCCUCCAAUUGUUCCUCGUUAAGAGAUUUAAAUUGUACUCAUUCCAAUUACAAGAUCCAAAAGAACCCUGUAUUGUUAUUUAUUGUCACUACCUCCCCGUGUCGGGAUUGGGUAAUUUGCGCGCCUGCUGCCUUCCUUGGAUGUGGUAGCCGUUUCUC
rnacentral:rRNA from 1 species